GAGUGUUGGUGAGGAUGGGGCAGCCAGCUGGUGCUCCCCAAUACCACCCAUCGGAUGGCAAACAAGAAGCCAGGAGACGGGAAGGUCAACACUAACGGCCGGGGGGAAACAACAUUCACAGACAAAGACAACAGGAGCCCAGUUCCAAAAUGGACCAAGGAUAUGAACAAGCAGUGCCCAAAGAUCAGAUCCAGACAGACGUGCAUUUGGGAAGGGGUCCGCAUCCCUAAGCAGCUGACGAAGUACCAACUCCAACAACAAUGCAAUCUGACCUCACGCUGCGACGGGAACGUUGGCCAAGCCACAGGGGCCGGCCACAGGCCGGCAGGGACAGUUUUGAAAAAGCAAGCCGCUGCCGCCGAAGACAUACAGGCCCACGGCGGCCCUGCCCUGUGCCCCUGCACACGAGGAUGUGUUCAUCACCAGCAACGGGGAGACUGGAGCCUAAAGGUCACUGGCUGGACUGCACAAGGGGUCCCCAUGCCACAGGGAGCAGUCGAGGUAAGAAAUGUCCCAGCGGGCAGGAGGACACUUAAAAUCAGGCAAAGUACGAAAGUCAUGAGUUUGUGCAAACUUGUGUCUGAACGGGGCACACAAACGUGUAAACACACACACAUCUGUGGGGUGUCUCUCCUGGGGCCCCAGGAGUCCUGUGCCGGGCCCCCCUGCCUGGCGAUGCCGCCCCACAGGGUCCCCCUUGUCCAAGCCAGGCUGGCUCCGACACGUCCCACCUCAGCCACACCCACGCCAGGUGUUCCUUACGUAGAGAAAUGGCACCAGAACGGGCUUGCUCUGCAGCACGCUCUCUCCCACCGCAUAAGGGCCCUGCUAACCGCCCACCCCAGCGCCAGGGGCGCCAUCCCCCCAAAGACGAUGCUGCCGUCUGCACUCUCACGCACCCGUGCCGGCAUUCCCACAAACCCUUUCCAGAACACGGCCCGCGAUGCCUGCCAGUAGUGGGACAGCCCUGGUCAGCCCUGGUCCCCAACACCGUGCACAGAGUGACGGGCCCCCGGGGCGCCUGUGGGCAGUUCCCGGGCGUAUGCGUGUCUGCACCCGGGGACGGCCACCACGCCUUCACUCUGUUCUGUGCUGUGGGUACUAGACCCUUGGUGACCACGUGUCAAAUCUUUCUCGUAGGACAACACUCGAUUUUUACCUUUAUGGAGCCUUCUCUGAGAACUUCCCCAGUUUUCUACAGCUCUUUAUCUUUUGCUUUAUGCACUCAGGGUUUCUGACUAGCCUGGCCCAGCCCUCCCUCCCCCUGCGCUACAAAAGAUACCCCCAACAUUUCCUAGCUCCUGUGUCUGGAAUAUCGACUUCCGUGAGUGGAGGCAGGGGGAUGCCCUGCCGCCUGCCCCUGGGACAGGGAGCUCCACGGGGAGCACCGACAGUGCCGUCGCUAAGAUACGCCCCCCUUUAAUCUUGCAGCUGUAGCCCUCUGCGUGGACUCUGGGAUGGCCCGCCAACGUUGAUUUUAAAACUAACCAUGUGGGUGUAUCGGUGGGUGCGGGGUAUGGGGGGGGGGGGCAAACACCGGUGCGCUCGGCCUCCCUGUGCCGCCCCAGAGCAGCAGAAGCAGCAAGCAUCUUUGUCUCCCUCCUGAGCCUCGCUCAGGCCUUCAUCCAACAGGAAGAAAAGGCCUUCUCCCCCAUCUCCUGAGUUGUCGUCAGAGCGGGUCUGCACUUUCUCAGUUCCUUGGCGCUCGCCUCUUACCCUGUAGCCACAGUACCGAUGAACCACUCAGCUCACCGCAGAAUCUUUGGUUCCCUCUGUUCUGAAGACCAUGCUGGUUCUACUCCUCUGUGCUGCGGCCUCAAGCCAGCCUCGCUCUCUUCCCCUGAGAAGCAAUUCAGUGUUUACGUCUGGCUGGCGAAGGAGUCUUUGUCACAUCCAGUAAUUUUAAUACGAUUUUUAUUCUGUUGGCCAUUCUGGAUGGAUUUCCCUGAAAUACAGGGUCCUUUUCUUUCCCACUUCCCUUGAGUUUUCCAGAAGGUCAGCGGAGGCGCAGGCUCGUCUCCAGGCUGGGGCCACGCAGGGAUGCUCCUGGGCCUGCUCCCUGUGCUGUGCGUGUCUCCUGGUCUUUCUCUGUCGUGUCCGCCCUGCGUCUGCUGCUCCCCACAUGCCCCUUGCAGCGGAAGCUCUGCCCGGCAGACGCCCGUGUCUCCUCCUGUCCCGUCCUGAGCCCGCCGAGUUCCCGACUCAGCUCUGCCGGCUGUCUGGCCACCUCCAGCUCCUCACACUUCAGAAUCCACGCUCAACGCCGGGUAGAGCUUUCAUCCGCUGCUCCCUUCGUCCCGUCUCUGAGCGCGCUGGGGGUCUGCGGCGGCUCGCAGCUGGACUGGGGGUCCUGCUGUCUCAGGUACCCUUCUCUGCUGCCAGCCUGACGGGGGUCCCCACCGCUGCCCCCACCACGGGUCCCUUCUCUUUCUCACUCCUGGAAGAUGGUCCUUCCCGAGGCCUGUCACCCGCGCCUCCCAGGAGCCCCCCGUGCCUGUCUCCGCUGUCCUCUCUGGAAGCUCAGUGGGAACUCAGCACUCUCUCAGUCCUCAGUUCCGCUCCAGAUAUGCUUUGUAUGUACUUCUUGUUGUAGCUGCUUUGGAAGUGAACUGCCGCCCUCUCCUGCCAGAAUUCCAUGUGUAGAUUCUUUAACUUAGAGAUUCAUGCUGCUGACUGUGGAUCUCCUUCUGUCUCCUUUUUUUUUUUUUUCAUCGAACUGCUUCUAAGAUCGCCCCAAGCUCUCAGAUACACAUGGAGCCCGCCCCCACUGCCGCCUCCCUGGGCCCUCCUGCACCCCCACAACCGCACCCAGUCAGGAGACUGCGCCCCCGGCCGAGGCCUGCCGCAGCCGCUCCACACACUCCCUCCAAAGUCAACCUUAUCUGACGUCCGCACACCAAGCGCGGCCCUCUCCGGACGAGCGGCUGCCAAGUCUUUUCUUUCCUAGUGUACUCUUAGAGCCUUUCUUGUUCUUUUACUUUAAAUAUUUUAUUUUAUAUUUUAGAAAGAGCGAGUGCACAAGUGGGAGGGGCGGAAGGAGAGAAUCUCAAGCAGGCUCCAUGCCCAGUGUGGAGCCCAACGCCGGGCGCUCCACCUCACGGCCCUGAGACCGUGACCCGGGCCAAAGUCAAGAGUCGGACGCUCAACCGCUGAGCCUACCCACACAGCCCUGGGGCGGCCGCUCCCUGGAACGCGCUCUUCUUCUCUCUGGGGCUUUCAAUCUUUGCCGUCUUGGCUACCCUACAGGUUUGGGUUGGUUUUUUGUUGUUGUUGUUGUUGUUGUUUUAAAUAACCUAUCUAGGUAUAGACUUAUUUUUAUUCAUUCUGUUCAAACCUUGGUCAGUUUCAUCAGCUUCCAGAAAAUCCUUUUUUCAUACGACCUUUCCCCCCAUUCCCCAGUCUCUGCUUCUGGAGCAUCCACCGAACAUUCCUACUUUCCACAUCUUCGGGCCGCUCUGACAAAGUUUACACCUUUUCAUCCUCCUGCACUGCGGUCCACAGCCCCAGGGCUUCCUCUCCGGCCGCUUUCCCCGCGGCUGCCUAGUGCCUCCGCAGCCGCCUUCUGGGCUCAUUCCCACGGCUCCGUGUCUGAGCCGCUCACGUCUGCACCCUGCUCUUCCCUCGUGAUGCCCACGUCUCCUUCAAUGGCUCCCGCCACUUCUAACGGAGGUCCUGCUUCCACCACUUUCAGAUGGGGGUCCUGCUACUUCUGGUUCUCACCAAAAGCUAAGACUUUUUGAAGGUCUGCUUAGGGAGCUCUUGCUCCGUUGUGCUCUGUAAACGCUCAGGUAGGGCUAGUCCGUGUUGUUUUUAUAGCAAGGACACGAGGUAUGAAUUGUUUAAGUGUCCCUCGUGUGUCAAGGGCUUUAACUUGGCUUCGGUCAGGUGCCCUGGGUAAAUUAUCAUUUCAGAGACCAAUCUGUGUGUUAAAUGGUCAACUUCUCAUUUCUUACAACACACAAGUCGUUUAAAUUUAGACUCCAAAACAUAGUAAGACACAGGUCUAGGGGUUGAAUUUCUAAGAAAAUGACCUCCCUUGCCACUCCCCAAGGGCAGGGGAUGGCAGAGGGAAGCAUACAUUGGCCACCCCCGGGCCAAGUUUACUGGCCCCUCCCCUGGGACUACAGCCCUCCGUGGGGUCCACGCAGGCCCCUCGGGCCCAGCCGCACGGCAGACCUUGGAGCAGGCUCUGGCGGCGGUCCCCACGCAAGGGUUCAAACUCGAGCACCACCUGUUCCAUGCCCCAUGGCCCCCGGGAAGCUGUGCCUACAGACCCUUGCCUCCAUGGAUCUGGCCCCAGCAUGGCAGAACUCUCUGCCCCUAACCUGCCAUCCUGCACAGGUGUUGUGAGAGUUUCGAGGGGGCUGGACAGACGGUCCUCCUUCAUCAACGGCUGGUUAUUCUUAGUUUUCUGUUCAUUCUGUACUACAGAAUUCCUGUUUGCCAGCCUAUGGGAUCUGCAGGCCUGCCUCUUAUAGAAGCCUACGUGGACAGAGAUUUUAUUUAUUGGGGCGCCUGGGUGGCUCAGUUGGUC